UCCUCAAAGGCUUAAAGAAGUGACUGAGCCAGAAAAACUGCAUGAAGUCAGGUCAUUAAGUCAUAGUGCACAGUGGCCCAGGAGCAGCCACUUGUAGAUUCAUACCUAGAGCCAAGCUGAGAUGGGUAAGCAACGAUGCGAUUUGAUCUGAAGAGGAGAUGUGUAGUAGUGUCAGGGCUGUGGGAAGAAGUGGGCUCUGUAGAGCUCAGAGCCUUCCUGGAGAAUUUUGCUGAUGCUUUUCAUGGAACUCAGAAGUCCGUGAUCCAUAGUGGAAGAUCCAAACAAAACUAACGACUCCAAAGGAACUAAAGAGGAACACAUCUUAUCUCCCAGCACCUCCCGAAGCAGAGGAAGAUUCCAAAGACUAGAAGAACAGGACCCAAUCAGUGAUCUCAACACACUCAAGCUGUGUUUGCAGCGUCAUCCUCAUCUCAUUUUAUAGAUGUGAAAAGAAGUCACCAGAGGCUACAGUCCACCUGGUCUCCAGCUGCUAUACAUCCUCAUCAAAUACCUUACGGUUUCCAUAGGUGACUAUAAUAUUUUUGCCAGUCUCAUCUGCUUACCAUCACCA